rnacentral:sRNA from 1 species
AGCUCGGGACCCAAAUGAGAUAGAAUCCGAUGAUUAAAAAAAAAAGCGAAUUACGUACAGGCAGGUGCUUGUACUAAAAGAACAGAAAGAUUAAAUGCGAAGGGCGCAUUGAUUUUUAGGCCGAAUGGGUACGUUUCAUCAACACCAAGAGCCGUGUGCGGUUGUGCGAUCUCAAAAGGCGUAACUGCGUGAGUUUCGUCAAACCAAACCAUAGCGUCGAAUUGGAGAGACAGAGAAGCUGCGGAAUAAUGAGACCUCAUUUCGGUUUGAGGUCGAUAUACAACCCCGAUAAAUCUUUCUUUUCGUUCCUAAGCCAAAGCUCGUCGGAGCUCAGGGUCUGCUUGAUU